rnacentral:rRNA from 1 species
CACCGCGGUUAGACGAGAGGCUCAAGUUGAUAGAAUUCGGCGUAAAGCGUGGUUAUGGGACACUUAAACUAAAGCCAAAAUGCCUUAAAGACUGUUAUACGCCAUCUUAAAGAUAAGAAGCCCAACAACGAAAGUAGCUUUAACCAUCCUGAUUCCACGAAAGCUGUGGCA